rnacentral:rRNA from 1 species
UACGAAGGGGGCUAGCGUUGUUCGGAAUCACUGGGCGUAAAGCGCGCGUAGGCGGAUUGUUAAGUCAGGGGUGAAAUCCCGAGGCUCAACCUCGGAACUGCCUUUGAUACUGGCGAUCUAGAGUCCGGGAGAGGUGAGUGGAACUCCUAGUGUAGAGGUGAAAUUCGUAGAUAUUAGCUAGAACACCAGUGGCGAAGGCGGCCAACUGGUCCGGUACUGACGCUGAGGUGCGAAAGCGUGGGGAGCAAACAGG